AAGCUGCAAACUCUAUCACUGUAAUCUGAAAACCUACAAGAAGCUGUUUUCUAGCUUGCAUGACAGGGGAUGAUAAUCAUUUCUUUUCAUCCCCUUUCAAAGUGUGAAAACUUCCUUUUUCUGUAAAGUCUCAUUCUCGGAGUGAGGCUGUGUGUGACAGACUGAUACAAGUGGGUCCUCUGAGUUUUUAUUUGUUUCAGGAAUCCAGUUGUCGUCCCACAUGAGAUGGAGGCUCAGACAGUCACGUGGUUGGUUUUUCUGGCCCUAAUAAAACAUGUUUCUACAAGUGAUCCUGGAAAUCCUGUUGAAUACCCGCCCACUGAACCUAUACUGUCUAUGAGGUCUGAGGUCACAGAAGGUCAGACCAUCACCAUCAGCUGCUCUGUUGAAAGUUUCCCACAGUCAACUCUCACCUUGAUGAGGACCAACAGAAAUCAGGCUUUUAUAAUCGCUGAUAAUAAUAAUCAUUCACGACCCAUCAACUCUCUCUCCCACACGUUUGUUGUGACUUCAUCCGACGCUGGCUGGUACGUCUGCCGUGCCCAGAACACUGAGGGCUCAAAGGACAGCAAGAAGAAGGAGUUGGUGG